rnacentral:snoRNA from 1 species
AAGACCUUACUUCUACAGGAUCAUUUCUAUAGGUCUUAUCGCGAUCAUUCAUCUCGAAUUUUCGCGUGUCUCAAACCAUGAUGAAGAGUCGUGGUGGUUUCUCUUGAGCGGGAAGUGGUCAGGUGACCCUCCUUGCUGAGGGUCUUCUGACGUUGAAGACCGUUCCACUUUCCGCUUUGGCGGAUUGUGGGGGAGAGACCACGUUCUGAGUGGU